ensembl:lncRNA DNM1P35 dynamin 1 pseudogene 35
GCUCCUCUUUCUGUUCCUGGCUCCCUUUCGCCCGCAGGUCGCCCAAGUCCAGCCCCACGACGCAGUGCCGACUCCCCGCCGUGCCCCCAGCCCGGCCCGGGUUGCGGAGCCCUGCUCCUGGGCCUCUGCCUGCUGCGUCCACCCUGGGGGAAGCGCCCGUCGUACCCUCCACACCGGGGGCUUCCCCUGACCCCUUAGGCCCUCCCCCUGCAGGUGCCCUCGCGCCCCUCCCGGGGUCCCCAGGUAGCCGAAGCAGGGAGAGAGAAGGCAGCAUACGUCAGCGUUUUCUUCUAUGCACUUAUAAGAAAGAUCAAAGACUUUAAGACUUUCACUAUUCCUUCUACCACUGUCUACUACAAACUUCAAAGAGGAACCAGGAGUACAGGAGGAACAUGAAAGUGGACAAGGAGCGUGACCAUUGAAGCACAGCACCACAGGGAGGGGUUUAGGCCUCCGGAUGACUGCGGGCAGGCCUGGAUACUAUCCAGCCUCCCACAAGAAGCUGGUGGAGCAGAGUGUUCCCUGACUCCUCCAAGGAAAGGGAGACUCCCUUUCGCGGUCUGCUAAGUAACGGGUGCCUUCCCAGACACUGGCGUUACCACUUGACCAAGGAGCCCUCAAGCGGACCUUAUGCGGGCAUGACAGGGCUCACCUCUUGCCUUCUACAUCACUUCUCACAAUGUCCCUUCAGCACCUGACCCUAUACCCGCAGGUUAUUCCUAGGUUAUAUUAGUAAUUAAAAGCUAAUGAUUAAUAAUGUUUA